CAGUCUGGUAUUUGUUCAGCUGAAUAGGUCGGUCACUAAUGUUCAGCAUGCGGACUGGCACCCUGCCACACUUCACAAUAACUAGACUGCGGGCAGCAAGCAAAUAUUCCUCACCCCCAUCCAGUAUAGUUUUGAAGAUGCUCCAACCAGG